CCCAACUGUGAAUGUGCUGGACUUCCAUUGGAGCCCGAAGACCCUUCGUCAUCGUGGCAUCCACCAAGUAACGCGGCUUAAUUUCAGCGCGCAACACAACGGGGCACACUUGAUCGCCUGUCGUAUAUCCGUUUUGUGUUUGUAGGGUACCAGGUAUCUUUCUCUCGCGCGCUUUCUCGUUCUCCCUUUCCGCCGCUCUAUCUCUCUCUCUCUGCAAGCACAAAGAGAGAGAGAAAGCGAGCGGCUGAUCAAUCUCUCUGAGAGGCACCAAUGGAGAAGAUGGCGAAUGUGGGGGGCGGAAGAAGCAGGAACCACGGGUCGACCACCUUCUUCGUGACGCUUGACUACCUCUUCAUUAUUGUCUUCAUCUGCUUCCUCCUUUUUUUCCUCUCCAAGAUGGUUGGGGUCGGAUUCUGAUUCCGCCUCCCCUAUCCUUACAACAAUCGAGAAUCUCUUCUUCAUUCUCGCUGAAUCACCUAACAGAUCCAUCACGCUGACCCUUUCAAGUAAUUGUCAGUCAUCCUGCCAACUCCAUCAUUUCCAUCAUGAGUUUAUUUAUUCGUUCUUCUAGGACCUGUGAAACGAUGGGUUAAGAAGAUGGGAUUUGUCUACAUGAUAUUUAAACUUCUGUUGUACUUGUAUGGGAUAUUGUCUUACAGAUAUAUCAUGUCAUUUUGAAGGUUCAACUUGGAUUUUGAUCUUAUAUCGGUAAAAAUGUUCUAGUUGAAUAUUCUUCUUGCA